rnacentral:rRNA from 1 species
UGCAGUCGAGCGCAGUCCUUCGGGACCGAGCGGCGGACGGGUUAGUAACGCGUGGGAAUAUACCCAGAUCUAAGGAAUAGCCUCGGGAAACUGAGAGUAAUACCUUAUACGCCCUUCGGGGGAAAGAUUUAUCGGAUUUGGAUUAGCCCGCGUUAGAUUAGAUAGUUGGUGGGGUAAUGGCCUACCAAGACGACGAUCUAUAGCUGGUCUGAGAGGAUGAUCAGCCACACUGGGACUGAGACACGGCCCAGACUCCUACGGGAGGCAGCAGUGGGGAAUAUUGGACAAUGGGCGCAAGCCUGAUCCAGCCAUGCCGCGUGAGUGAUGAAGGCCUUAGGGUUGUAAAGCUCUUUCGCUAGGGAAGAUAAUGACGGUACCUAGUAAAGAAGCCCCGGCUAACUUCGUGCCAGCAGCCGCGGUAAUACGAAGGGGGCUAACGUUGUUCGGAUUUACUGGGCGUAAAGCGCACGUAGGCGGAUUAGCAAGUUAGGGGUGAAAUCCCGGAGCUCAACUCCGGAACUGCCUUUAAAACUGCUAGUCUAGAGAUCGGGAGAGGUGUAUGGAACUCCUAGUGUAGAGGUGGAAUUCGUAGAUAUUAGGAAGAACACCAGUGGCGAAGGCGAUACA